CAAUAGCGUAUAUUAAAGUUGUUGCAGUUAAAAAGCUCGUAGUUGGAUUUGUGGCGUACGGUGUGUUCCGGGCACUUGUUGUCUGAGUAACCUGCUGUUGCCAUCCUUGGGUGGAACCUGUGUGGCAUUAGGUUGUCGUGCAGGGGAUGCCCAUCAUUUACUGUGAAAAAAUUAGAGUGUUCAAAGCAGGCUUAUGCCGUUGAAUAUAUUAGCAUGGAAUAAUGAGAUAGGACUUUUUUGCUAUUUUGUUGGUUUGCGCAAAGAGGUAAUGAUUAAUAGGGACAGUUGGAGGUAUUCGUAUUCCAUUGUCAGAGGUGAAAUUCUUGGAUUUUUGGAAGACGAACUACUGCGAAAGCAUUUACCAAGGAUGUUUUCAUUAA
rnacentral:rRNA from 1 species